rnacentral:rRNA from 1 species
CGGGCGACGCGCCGGUCUAAGUCCCUUGGAACGGGGCGUCAUAGAGGGUGAGAAUCCCGUAUGCGACCGGUGACCGAGCCUCGGUGAAACCCCUUCGACGAGUCGAGUUGUUUGGGAAUGCAGCUCAAAAAGGGUGGUAAAUUUCAUCUAAAGCUAAAUACCGGCCAGAGACCGAUAGCGCACAAGUAGAGUGAUCGAAAGAUGAAAAGCACUUUGGAAAGAGAGUCAAACAGUACGUGAAAUUGUUGAAAGGGAAGCGCUUGCAACCAGACCUGCCCGCGGGUGAUCAGCCGUCCUUCGGGGCGGUGCACUCGCCCGCGAUCAGGCCAGCAUCGGUUCGGGCGGUCGGAUAAAGGCCCUGGGAACGUGGCUCCCCUCGGGGAGUGUUAUAGCCCUCGGUGCAAUGCGGCCCGCCCGGACCGAGGACCGCGCUUCGGCUAGGAUGCUGGCGUAAUGGUUGUAAGCGGCCCGUCUUGAAACACGGACCAAGGAGUCGACCAACUAUGCGAGUGUUUGGGUGUCAAACCCACACGCGCAAUGAAAGUGAACGGAGGUGGGAACCCCUCGCGGGGCGCACCAUCGACCGAUCCAGAUGUCUUCGGAUGGAUUUGAGUACGAGCAUAGCUGGUCGGACCCGAAAGAUGGUGAACUAUGCCUGAAUAGGGUGAAGCCAGAGGAAACUCUGGUGGAGGCUCGCAGCGGUUCUGACGUGCAAAUCGAUCGUCAAAUUUGGGCAUAGGGGCGAAAGACUAAUCGAACCAUC